rnacentral:tRNA from 1 species
UGUGUUUCCAUUUUUGCUUGUUUCAAGAAAAUUUUUAUUUUUACUUAUUUAUUUUUAAAGAUUUUAUUUUUAAGUGAUACCUGUACCCAAGGUGAAGCUGGAACUCACAAUCCAAAAUCAAGAGUCCUAUGCUGUACCACUGAGCCAGCCAGGUGCCCUGCACUCUCUGAUUUUUUAGGUCACUAAACUUCCCUUAGAGAAUUAUUCUGAAUUUUUUGUGUGCCAGUUCAUGGAUCUCCAUUUCUUUAGGGUCAGUUAUUGGAGCUUUAUUAGUUUCCUUUGUUGGUGUCAUAUUUAUCUGACUUUUCAUAAUCCUUGAUUCCUUAUGUUGGCAUCUGUGCAUUUGCGUAAUCUGACUCCUCUUCCAGACUUUACAGGUUUGCUUUGGCAGAGCUAGUUCU